rnacentral:rRNA from 1 species
UACGUAGGGGGCAAGCGUUAUCCGGAUUUACUGGGUGUAAAGGGAGCGUAGACGGCUGUACAAGUCUGAAGUGGAAGCCCGUGGCUCAACCGCGGAACUGCUUUGGAAACUGUAAAGCUGGAGUACUGGAGAGGCAGGCGGAAUUCCUAGUGUAGCGGUGAAAUGCGUAGAUAUUAGGAGGAACACCAGUGGCGAAGGCGGCCUGCUGGACAGAAACUGACGUUGAGGCUCGAAAGCGUGGGGAGCAAACAGG